rnacentral:rRNA from 1 species
GACGAACGCUGGCGGCGCGCUUAACACAUGCAAGUCGAGCGAUAACCAUGGCUUCGGCCAUGGGGAGAGCGGCGAACGGGUGAGUAACACGUGAGUAAUCUGCCCUCGACACUGGGAUAGCCCGGGGAAACCCGGAUUAAUACCGGAUAGCCUCUCGAGCUUUCGGGCUCGUGAGAAAAGAUGGCUUCGGCUUUCGGUUGAGGAGGAGCUUGCGGCGGAUUAGCUUGUUGGUGAGGAACGGCCCACCAAGGCGACGAUCCGUAGCUGGUCUGAGAGGACGAUCAGCCACACUGGGACUGAGACACGGCCCACGACUCCUACGGGAGGCAGCAGUGGGGAAUCUUGGACAAUAGGGGGCGAACCCUGAUCCAGCCAUGCCGCGUGAGUGAAGAA